CCUAAUUUCUCCUGUAAUUCACUCUGGAUAAGAGUGUCUGCUAAAUGACUAAAA
rfam:Salmo salar isolate Sally breed double haploid chromosome ssa05, whole genome shotgun sequence.